GACGAACGCUGGCGGCGUGCUUAACACAUGCAAGUCGCACGAAGUUGCGAACGGGUGAGUAAUACGUGGGUCACCUGCCCUCCUUUUUUGGAUCCGCCUUGUAAACUGGGUCUAAUACCGUCUAAAGGGGGCUGGGCUCGCGGCCUUUCAGGUUGUUGGUGUGGUGAUGGCCUACCAAGGCGGUGACGGGUAGCCGGCCUGAGCGGGUGACCGGCCAUAUUGGAACGGAGAUACUGCCCAGACUCGUACGGGAGGGAGCAGUGGGGGGUAUGGCACAAUGGGCGACAGGAUGAUGCGGCGAAGUCGCGUGGGGGAUGAAGGCGUUCGGGGUGUAAACCUCUUUCGAUAGCGAACGGGUAGGUGGAGAAGAAGCGACGGCUAACUACGUGCCAGCAGCCGCGGUAAUUC
rnacentral:rRNA from 1 species